UACGUAGGCAGCAAGCGUUGUUCGGAAUUACUGGGCGUAAAGCGUGCGUAGGCGGUUUGUUAAGUCCGUUGUGAAAGCCCUGGGCUCAACCUGGGAAUUGCAGUGGAUACUGGCGAGCUAGAGUGCGGUAGAGGAUGGUGGAAUUCCCGGUGUAGCGGUGAAAUGCGUAGAGAUCGGGAGGAACACCCGUGGCGAAGGCGGCCAUCUGGACCAGCACUGACGCUGAGGCACGAAAGCGUGGGGAGCAAACAGG
rnacentral:rRNA from 1 species